rfam:Haemonchus contortus, ISE/inbred ISE, WGS project CAVP01000000 data, contig: Hcontortus_38169
GGCACAAACUUGAAGUAAAUUAGUUUACCAGGGUCAGCCGAACCUACUAAACCACUUUACUUCAAGUUUGUGUCC